rnacentral:lncRNA from 1 species
AGGUGCAGAAUCUGUUCCAUAGAGGAAAUCUCUCUGUCAGCAGACAGAGGCAGUAAUGACAUAUUUCGACUGGAUCAGUUCCCUUAUCUGACCUAUUGCAUAACUUAAGGAGUACCAGCGUCAGCGUGUGGGUGAAGGCAAGACCUCUGAAGAUACAAACACAACAGUGAAAUGAAAGAGCAGCUCAUCAAGAGCACUUUGGGUUCCUGGAGAAACUUCCCACAGUGCAAAAGAGUUUCUAAGCUGUCCUGAAGAAAAAGACAAACUUGGGAGGAGCAGAAGAUCCCUUGCUUGCUGUUGGUCUUCAUUGUCAGAGCCAGUUUCUGGAAGAUCUGAAAUCUCUUCUGACAGACCCACUGGGAUCUCUGGUGGCUUGGCUGCUGAGUAGGCACAUUGAAGAAAAUCAAAAACUAUGUCUUCUGUUUGGGCCUAAAAUGUGGUUGUGUUCUGUGUCCAACCACCAGCUCUCCAGGAAAGUUCCUCUUCAGAGGAGAGACCAUUGAAGCCAAGGAGUGGGAAAUGUGCUGGAGAGGAUGUGCUCCCUUGGGCAAAGCAAAGCAGUGUGCAGCUACUUUUCUGUUUCCUCCUUGUUGGACCCUCUCUGCUGUGGGCAAGACUAGGACGAGAGUUCUGUCUCCCUCUUUUGUGGCAUGGAUGGACCUCAUUGGGAUGUUCUUUUUCUCCUGCUGAAAACUUCUGCCAGCACCAGGGUAUAGACAGUCGUCUGCAUGACUGUCAGUGCUGUGAUGGAUUGGAGCAGGCUGGGAAGGCAGCAAGAGGGUGGGGAACAAGGAUGGCAAGAAUGGUCUCCAACACCGUUACCACCCCGAGCUUCUAGUUCCUCUUCUGUCCCAAAAGCCAAGACAGCAUCAGCAGACUGCUCCAGCAACCCAGUGCAGCAGCCCAGGGUGCAGCACGAGAACCCAGACUGUAGCCCAGCGCAGUCCCAGGGGGCUACUGAGAUCUCCACAGCAAAGAUAGAUAAAUACUGUCUAAAUGUGUUUUGUUUUCGUUUGUUACUAUUUCCUGACCUAAGAAUGUAUGAUUACAGUCUUGGACAACCAGUACAUGACUGUGAACAAAUCCACAAGUUAGGAAGAAGUUUCUGUUUUGUGUGCCUAAACUGUAAACAUAGCAUAUAUGCAUUAUAUAUUGCAAGUGGGAAUAGAGGUAUCUGCAUAUACGUGUGUGUGUAUCAAUGUUACGAUUCCCUUUGUUGAUGAAGCACAAAUUUGGGCUCUUCUAGAAUUCUGGGCCUGAUACUUGGAUAUUUUAGCUUUAGUUCACUGUAUUCCUGCAGCACCGGAUACUCUCCAAUGCAAGCAAUGUGAUACUAAACCUUUUUCAGAGGGCAAGAUCCUGAAGAUUUGCUAUGCCCUUUCCUGACACUAGGAUCAACUCACGUAGCUGAAUCUGGCAUUCAUAUAGAUUUCAAUGUCUCUGUGGGAACUGCAUGUGCUCUUUUUAUUUUAUGCUGAGAUUCCACUAAAUUGUUCUUUGGAUUUAUUUCAAAGAAGGAGAAGGGAGAAAAAGGCAGUAAAGAUUGCUCUUCUUAUGCUUUUAGUUGUUUUUUUAACUCAAUUAUAUUUUGACAAUUCUGUAUGAAACUUUGGAGUAUGUCUUUGUUUAAGCAGUAUACCUUCCAUAGGAAUAGUCAGUUAAAUGCAUAUGGCUAGUUUCAGGCAUAACAAGCUUUGACAAGGGCAUUUAGCGGUUGUAAUUCAAAUCUAAUUCAGAACAUCUUAGCACUGGACCUGUCAAGCACUUGAAAUGCACUGUAGCUGCAAAACGAAGGGAUAUGGUCCCAGUCGUGCUCUGUGUGGCAUCAAGCUGAUGUGUCAACAAGAGCAGUUACAAUUACAGGUUCUUUCAAGCAUACUAAACUAAUUUACAGUACUCCUGAAAUUGUGGGAAAAGGCCUUGUUGGCAUGAAGGUACACAGGACUUUCAUACUGCAGAGACGAGGCAGGUGACAAGAGGGUUUCACUCAGGAGUUUCAGUAUUGCACAGUUUCAGUGCCACCUUUGGAGUCGGGGGAGGGUUUGUUAGAUUUGUAACUAGAUAUUUUGUGGAUAAUAAUAGAUUUGCCUUGCAGCCAUCAAAUACCCUUGUCAAAUCCCAUUAGAAUCACAUUGCACACUUGUUUGAAACCUCAAUCUAAAAUGCACCCAUUUGCUAAGUGAGGAUGGGGUCCUAAUUGCACUGGCAGUGACUGGUCCUUUUUGUUCGUCUAUUUUGCGUAAUAAACAGCACUGAGCCUGGCU